rfam:Triticum aestivum genome assembly, contig: Triticum_aestivum_CS42_TGACv1_scaffold_320468_4BL
UUAAUACUCCCUCCGUCUGUAAAUACUUGUUGUAGAAAUGGAUGCAAAUGGAUGUAUCUAGAACUAAAAUACAUCUAGAUACAUCCAUUCUUCGGACAAGUAUUUCCAAAUGGAGGGAGUACUGU